rnacentral:rRNA from 1 species
UACGUGAGGGGCGAACGUUGUUCGGUGUCACUGGGCUUAAAGGGUGCGUAGGUGGUUGCGUAAGUAAGGUGUGAAAUCCCUCGGCUUACCCGGGGAAUUGCAUUUUAUACUGCGUGGCUUGAGGACUAAAGGGGAAAAGGGAACUCCAGGUGUAGCGGUGAAAUGCGCAGGAUAUCUGGGGGAAGGCCGGCGGCGAAGGCGCUUUUCUGGUUAGUACCUGACACUGAGGCACGAAAGCGUGGGGAGCAAACAGG